CGUAGGUGGCAAGCGUUGUCCGGAAUUAUUGGGCGUAAAGCGCGCGCAGGCGGUCCUUUAAGUCUGAUGUGAAAGCCCACGGCUCAACCGUGGAGGGUCAUUGGAAACUGGGGGACUUGAGUACAGAAGAGAAGAGUGGAAUUCCACGUGUAGCGGUGAAAUGCGUAGAGAUGUGGAGGAACACCAGUGGCGAAGGCGACUCUUUGGUCUGUAACUGACGCUGAGGCGCGGAAGCGUGGGGAGCAAACAGGAUUAGAUACCCUGGUAGUCCACGCUGUAAACGAUGAGUGCUAAGUGUUAGAGGGUUUCCGCCCUUUAGUGCUGCAGCUAACGCAUUAAGCACUCCGCCUGGGGAGUACGGCCGCAAGGCUG
rnacentral:rRNA from 1 species